UUCUAAGGGCGUUGAAGCAUGAUCGCAAGGACAUGUGGAGCGCUUAGAAGUGAGAAUGCCGGUGUGAGUAGCGAAAGACGGGUGAGAAUCCCGUCCACCGAUUGACUAAGGUUUCCAGAGGAAGGCUCGUCCGCUCUGGGUUAGUCGGGUCCUAAGCUGAGGCCGACAGGCGUAGGCGAUGGAUAACAGGUUGAUAUUCCUGUACCACCAUUAUUCGUUUUAAGCGAUGGGGGGACGCAGUAGGAUAGGCGAAGCGUGCUGUUGGAGUGCACGUCCAAGCAGUGAGAUUGA
rnacentral:rRNA from 1 species